rnacentral:lncRNA from 1 species
GACAGCCCGACCACCAGACAGCCCGACCCUGGACAGCCCGACCCGCUGCCCUGGACAACUCGACCCGGUCGAGUUGUCCAGGGUUGGCUCUGAAUCGGACAACUCGACCACUUGAAUUCUUCUUCAAAAUUUCAUUAAAUAAAAUUUCAAACUUUACUUCAAAAGUAUUUUCCCGCAUAAUCCAUGCUUCUUCAAUAUAUUCUCGACAGAAAAAUUGACAUUUCAGUGCAUUUUGAGCUAUUUUGAAAGAAAAUAUAGCGAGUUCCCUUGCAACGAGAAAAAUCCGAUACCGCCGGCGAGCUGUGUUCAUCCAACUUACAACUUGCAAAUUUGAGUUGAUUUUUCCGUCACUUUACAUAUUUUGAUGUAUCUGUCACAGCUUUUUUAAAUGCAAAUUCCACUGGAAACAACGGGUCUUCUGGAGGAUACAAGCACUUGGGCUGGUCCCAACCACCUACACCCGGGAUGAGAAGAGCCUAGGUUUCAUACUCGACAAGCGAUGGCCUUUCCAUUUCUUUCACGAGCAGAAAUGAUACCGAGUUCCAAUGACUUGGGCAUCAGAGCAGCAGUCCCUUGAUCGAUGAGCUCUUUGAGACCACCUGAAUUGCAAGCUCUGUAUGGCCAGUUUUUGUGUGACAAAAUAAAAGAUGAGGAAGGGUUGAAAAUCCCUCCAGCUAAGUUAGGGAUCAUGUAAUUGCCAUGGAAACCAAAUAUAGUAAUGUAUAACAGGUUGUAUAUUCCUGAAAGUGCAAUUGUUGGAUAAAUGUUAAUUUAUAUUGGCACUAAUGUAAUUUUAAGAUUGUCCUUAUUUUUAGCUUUACAUAAACACCAAAAGCAGAGAAUAUUGUUCCCAGUUGGAAUUGUGUCAUAUUUAUUAUCAUAAUAGUAUUAUCAUAAUUGUGGUAAUGUAAUCCUAUUUGAAAUUAUGAACCAGUAUUUAUUUUGUGUGGGAUAUAAUAUGUUUUAUAUACACUGAAGUUCAAUAUGUGUUACUAUGUAAUUUUAGAUCUGAUCAAGUUUACCUUAAUGUUACUUAAUAAAACCCACUUAAAUCCAAAAAAGUAUUUUGAAUAUUUGGUUCUUGCACUAUUUUGUAUCCCUUUUCUCGCUAAAUAUUUACCUUUUAUUGAGAGCUGUGUUGACGGGUUCCAUGACAUUUGCUCUGGCAAAUUCCACACCAUAAUCUUAUGAACAGCUUCAACCAGUAAGGUCUAAACCUAAC